AACGAACGCUGGCGGCAUGCCUAACACAUGCAAGUCGAACGAGACCGUCGGGUCUAGUGGCGCACGGGUGCGUAACGCGUGGGAACCUGCCCUUAGGUUCGGAAUAACUCCCCGAAAGGGGUGCUAAUACCGGUUAAUCUCUUCGGGCCAAAGAUUUAUCGCCUUUGGAUGGGCCCGCGUUGGAUUAGCUAGUUGGUAGGGUAAAAGCCUACCAAGGCGACGAUCCAUAGCUGGUCUGAGAGGAGGAUCAGCCACACUGGGACUGAGACACGGCCCAGACUCCUACGGGAGGCAGCAGUGGAGAAUAUUGGACAAUGGGCGAAAGCCUGAUCCAGCAAUGCCGCGUGAGUGAUGAAGGCCUUAGGGUUGUAAAGCUCUUUUACCCGGGAUGAUAAUGACAGUACCGGGAGAAUAAGCACCGGCUAACUACGUG
rnacentral:rRNA from 1 species